rnacentral:rRNA from 1 species
CACGUAGGGCGCAAGCGUUGUCCGGAAUUAUUGGGCGUAAAGAGCUCGUAGGUGGUUUGUUACGUCUGCUGUGAAAUCCUAGGGCUUAACCCUGGGCUUGCAGUGGAUACGGGCAGACUAGAGGUAGGUAGGGGAGAAUGGAAUUCCACGUGUAGCGGUGAAAUGCGUAGAGAUGUGGAGGAACACCAGUGGCGAAGGCGGGUCUCUGGGCCGUAACUGACGCUGAGGAGCGAAAGCGUGGGGGAGCGAAACAGG